CGUAAUGCGAUGAAGGAAAGAGUAAUAAUAUUAGUUUAUAGAGAGUCUAUGGUUGGUGGAAAUAGAUAAUGAAAGUUAUUAUAAAUGGUUCUGGAGCUUUUAUAUCUAAUAGGUAUAGACGGUUGUUACGUUAUAACUUAAUGAGUGUAUGUUACAUAAAAUAAGGUGGUACCGCGGAUAUUAUUCGUCCUUUGA
rnacentral:ncRNA from 1 species